AGAGUUUGAUCAUGGCUCAGAUUGAACGCUGGCGGCAGGCCUAACACAUGCAAGUCGAACGGUAACAGGAAGAAGCUUGCUUCUUUGCUGACGAGUGGCGGACGGGUGAGUAAUGUCUGGGAAACUGCCUGAUGGAGGGGGAUAACUACUGGAAACGGUAGCUAAUACCGCAUAACGUCGCAAGACCAAAGAGGGGGACCUUCGGGCCUCUUGCCAUCGGAUGUGCCCAGAUGGGAUUAGCUAGUAGGUGGGGUAACGGCUCACCUAGGCGACGAUCCCUAGCUGGUCUGAGAGGAUGACCAGCCACACUGGAACUGAGACACGGUCCAGACUGCCUACGGGAGGCAGCAGUGGGGAAUAUUGCACAAUGGGCGCAAGCCUGAUGCAGCCAUGCCGCGUGUAUGAAGAAGGCCUUCGGGUUGUAAAGUACUUUCAGCGGGGAGGAAGGGAGUAAAGUUAAUACCUUUGCUCAUUGACGUUACCCGCAGAAGAAGCACCGGCUAACUCCGUGCCAGCAGCCGCGGUAAUACGGAGGGUGCAAGCGUUAAUCGGAAUUACUGGGCGUAAAGCGCACGCAGGCGGUUUGUUAAGUCAGAUGUGAAAUCCCCGGGCUCAACCUGGGAACUGCAUCUGAUACUGGCAAGCUUGAGUCUCGUAGAGGGGGGUGGAAUUCCAGGUGUAGCGGUGAAAUGCGUAGAGAUCUGGAGGAAUACCGGUGGCGAAGGCGGCCCCCUGGACGAAGACUGACGCUCAGGUGCGAAAGCGUGGGGAGCAAACAGGAUUAGAUACCCUGGUAGUCCACGCCGUAAACGAUGUCGACUUGGAGGUUGUGCCCUUGAGGCGUGGCUUCCGGAGCUAACGCGUUAAGUCGACCGCCUGGGGAGUACGGCCGCAAGGUUAAAACUCAAAUGAAUUGACGGGGGCCCGCACAAGCGGUGGAGCAUGUGGUUUAAUUCGAUGCAACGCGAAGAACCUUACCUGGUCUUGACAUCCACGGAAGUUUUCAGAGAUGAGAAUGUGCCUUCGGGAACCGUGAGACAGGUGCUGCAUGGCUGUCGUCAGCUCGUGUUGUGAAAUGUUGGGUUAAGUCCCGCAACGAGCGCAACCCUUAUCCUUUGUUGCCAGCGGUCCGGCCGGGAACUCAAAGGAGACUGCCAGUGAUAAACUGGAGGAAGGUGGGGAUGACGUCAAGUCAUCAUGGCCCUUACGACCAGGGCUACACACGUGCUACAAUGGCGCAUACAAAGAGAAGCGACCUCGCGAGAGCAAGCGGACCUCAUAAAGUGCGUCGUAGUCCGGAUUGGAGUCUGCAACUCGACUCCAUGAAGUCGGAAUCGCUAGUAAUCGUGGAUCAGAAUGCCACGGUGAAUACGUUCCCGGGCCUUGUACACACCGCCCGUCACACCAUGGGAGUGGGUUGCAAAAGAAGUAGGUAGCUUAACCUUCGGGAGGGCGCUUACCACUUUGUGAUUCAUGACUGGGGUGAAGUCGUAACAAGGUAACCGUAGGGGAACCUGCGGUUGGAUCACCU
rnacentral:rRNA from 1 species